UGUAGCUCAGUGGUAGAGCAUUUGCUUGGUAUGUGUGAGAUCCUGAGUUCAAUCCCCAGCA
rnacentral:tRNA from 1 species